rnacentral:rRNA from 1 species
GACGUAGGGCGCGAGCGUUGUCCGGAUUUAUUGGGCGUAAAGAGCUCGUAGGCGGCUUGUCGCGUCGACUGUGAAAUCUCAGGGCUCAACUCUGACAUUGCAGUCGAUACGGGCAGGCUAGAGUUCGGUAGGGGAGACUGGAAUUCCUGGUGUAGCGGUGAAAUGCGCAGAUAUCGGGAAGAACACCUAUGGCGAAGGCAGCUCUCUGGGACGGUACUGACGCUGAGACGCGAAAGCGUGGGGAGCGAACAGG